rnacentral:rRNA from 1 species
CGGUUAAAGCUCGUCGUUGGAUUUCUGUUGAGGUCGAACAGUGCCGCCCUAUGGGUGCGCAACUGGCUCGGCUUCGGCAUCUUCUUGGAGAGCGUAUCUGCACUUAACUGUGUGGAUCGUACUUCAAGUCAGUUACUUUGAGGAAUUGUGAGUGUUUCAAGCAGGCUUACGCCGUUGAAUCCGUUAGCAUGGAAUAAUAGAAUAGGACCUCGGUUCUAUUUUGUUGGUUUUGAGAGCUGGGGCAGCGAUUGAUAGGGACGGAUGGGGGCGUCCGAACUUUACUGUCAGAGGUGAAAUUCUUAGAUCGGUCAAAGGCGAACUACUGCGAACGCAUUCGCCAAGAAUGUUUUCUUUAAUCAAGAACGAAAGUUAGGGGAUCGAAGACGAUCAGAUACCGUCCUAGUCUUAACCAUAAACGUUACUGACUAGAGAUUGGAGGUUGUGAUUCACAAACUCCAUCAGCACCUCUAUGUGUAAACAAAGUCUUUGAGUUCUGGGGGGAGUAUGGUCGCAAGACUGAAAACUUAAAGGAAUUGACGGAAGGGCACCACCA